CCAAGAUUGUGAAUAAAGCCUUAUAUGCGUAUUGUGUUGAUUUGUUAGGUUGAAAGCUUUGCAUUUGUUGUGACAAUCUUGAUUGUUGUUAGUCGCGGAGGAGGUAGUUCCGGAAGAAGGAACUAAGUCCUUGUUGAUUUGAAGUGUUGAUAAGAAGUUAAUUUAGGAAUUUUGGAAGGUACUCGUCCAUUCAUUAAAGAAUGGAAUUUUUGGUAUAGAUACUUAGUCAUCCCACCUCACAUGGCUCUUGGUACAUUUUGUGUCUUUUGUAUGAAAGUGUUGUAAUGUCGUCAUUUUAAGUCUUGUAAUCCUGAAUUUGUAAGUUUGUAGUGGACAUCCUGUCAAAUGGGAGCUUUGACAACUUGGGUAAUAUGGGUAAACGACCCAUUUGGUUGUAAAAUGAAUGCUUGAUCAAGCGGAUACUUUUGUUAUGCAUAUUUCCGUGUCUAACACUUG